rnacentral:rRNA from 1 species
GAUGAACGCUGGCGGCGUGCCUAAUACAUGCAAGUCGAGCGAACGGACGAGAAGCUUGCUUCUCUGAUGUUAGCGGCGGACGGGUGAGUAACACGUGGAUAACCUACCUAUAAGACUGGGAUAACUUCGGGAAACCGGAGCUAAUACCGGAUAAUAUUUUGAACCGCAUGGUUCAAAAGUGAAAGACGGUCUUGCUGUCACUUAUAGAUGGAUCCGCGCUGCAUUAGCUAGUUGGUAAGGUAACGGCUUACCAAGGCAACGAUACAUAGCCGACCUGAGAGGGUGAUCGGCCACACUGGAACUGAGACACGGUCCAGACUCCUACGGGAGGCAGCAGUAGGGAAUCUUCCGCAAUGGGCGAAAGCCUGACGGAGCAACGCCGCGUGAGUGAUGAAGGUCUUCGGAUCGUAAAACUCUGUUAUUAGGGAAGAACAUAUGUGUAAGUAACUGUGCACAUCUUGACGGUACCUAAUCAGAAAGCCACGGCUAACUACGUGCCAGCAGCCGCGGUAAUACGUAGGUGGCAAGCGUUAUCCGGAAUUAUUGGGCGUAAAGCGCGCGUAGGCGGUUUUUUAAGUCUGAUGUGAAAGCCCACGGCUCAACCGUGGAGGGUCAUUGGAAACUGGAAAACUUGAGUGCAGAAGAGGAAAGUGGAAUUCCAUGUGUAGCGGUGAAAUGCGCAGAGAUAUGGAGGAACACCAGUGGCGAAGGCGACUUUCUGGUCUGUAACUGACGCUGAUGUGCGAAAGCGUGGGGAUCAAACAGGAUUAGAUACCCUGGUAGUCCACGCCGUAAACGAUGAGUGCUAAGUGUUAGGGGGUUUCCGCCCCUUAGUGCUGCAGCUAACGCAUUAAGCACUCCGCCUGGGGAGUACGACCGCAAGGUUGAAACUCAAAGGAAUUGACGGGGACCCGCACAAGCGGUGGAGCAUGUGGUUUAAUUCGAAGCAACGCGAAGAACCUUACCAAAUCUUGACAUCCUUUGACAACUCUAGAGAUAGAGCCUUCCCCUUCGGGGGACAAAGUGACAGGUGGUGCAUGGUUGUCGUCAGCUCGUGUCGUGAGAUGUUGGGUUAAGUCCCGCAACGAGCGCAAUCCUUAAGCUUAGUUGCCAUCAUUAAGUUGGGCACUCUAAGUUGACUGCCGGUGACAAACCGGAGGAAGGUGGGGAUGACGUCAAAUCAUCAUGCCCCUUAUGAUUUGGGCUACACACGUGCUACAAUGGACAAUACAAAGGGCAGCGAAACCGCGAGGUCAAGCAAAUCCCAUAAAGUUGUUCUCAGUUCGGAUUGUAGUCUGCAACUCGACUACAUGAAGCUGGAAUCGCUAGUAAUCGUAGAUCAGCAUGCUACGGUGAAUACGUUCCCGGGUCU